AUGGCGGUUCCACUCAGAAUGAACCACAACAAACGAGGCGGCAUGCUUGCUCGCUUGAAGAUUCUCGUCAACUCUCACUCUCAGAGCUUCCACUCCCCUGCGCCCAAACGACCAAAGCAAGAUCAAUCAUCAACAGAAAAUGACUUGGAUUACUCUAUUUGCCGGGGUAAAAUUACUGCUUCUGCAUUUUUUAUUUUGCUUAGCUCUUCACCACUGAUGGAAGAGUUUUACUCUGCUUCUGCCUGCGUUUUCAUGUUGUCUGAAUUUGUUUUUCUUAUCGAGCCACUGAUGUUGUCAGGCAGAAUGCACAUAAACACGUUUGUAACUGAUUCUGAGUUUUGUCCUGAAACUUCUUCGGAGAAAAGGAUUUGGUCCUACUUAGUAGGUGAGAAAGCGGUUUUGUGGUUCAGCCGCGCCGAAGUUGUUGGACGUUGUUUUCCAAUAUGCUUGGUUCAUAUAAAAGGCUCUGUAGUUGAGGUAACCAGUUUUGAGACAGUGGCACGAACUUCCAAUAGGAAGGAACAAUUUUUACACUCUCUGUUGCCCAAAUGCAGUAAUAAAAAGGACUUAUUUCGCUGCAAAAACUCCUUGCGCAGGGACUUCACAAUUAAUAGUUUAUUUUAUGACCCCUUUGCCAAUAAAAUCUACCAUUAUACUGAUGGAAUGGCUGAUUUGAGGUCAUUAAAGCUAGAAACUGUUAUCCCUGCUCAGAUGUCCUUUAAAGAGGAUCCUGGGAGAAUUUUGUGUGGCUUCCAAAUUGCAGCUCGGCUUGGUUUAUCAUUUAUCAAGGGAGACUGAGGCUGCAAUGUGGAAAUAUUCUUCACUUGUUAAGAGCUUGGACAAGAAUAAAAUUAUGAUUGAAUUGAACUACAUGCUGUCUUAUGGAGCUUCUGAACCAUCUCUGCGUCUACUUUGGAAACUCAAAUUGCUUGAAUUUUUACUUCCCGUGCAUGCAGCAUAUCUUGAUGAACAAGCGAUCAAAGAAGAUGUGCUCUGGCUUCCAAUAUGUUGAUGAAAUUAUUCUUCCAUCUUGAUAAUUUGGUUGCAUGCGAUCGACCUUGUGAUUGCACUCUAUGGACUGGAAGCAUUUCACCUGGCAUUAGUAAAUAAUCCUCAAGAUGCUCUAGUGGUGUGGGCAUUUGCUUCUGUUCUAUAUCAUGGGGAGUGGGAAAAGGGUAUUAAAUUUGCCAAAGAACAUGCAAAAAUGUUUGUUAAUUUUGCACCGGAAAUAAGGAUGUCCAGUAUAUACAAAUCAUGUCUAGAUUGAGAACAAUAGUCUUCUUCAAUCCAUGUCUAGAUACCCAUCUUUUCCACAAUCUGCCAUGGUAAGUCAAUCUAUUUUGGUAAGUUGCAACAGGAUCAGGUUCUGUUCUAAUUGAUUGUCUUAUUCAACCAUUUCAUAGUUAGGGUUUAUGAUACUUCCUUGUUUCUAGUUAUACCUUGUUCACUGUUAAUUAUUUUGGGCUCUGAAAUUGAAGUGGCUCUGAUAUCAUGUAAAGAAACAAUAAUAGAAAAUUCAAUUCCUAUGUGGCUAAUCAUAAAACAUGACUACAUACGUCACUAAAUAAAUGAAUAUUACAUGGAGAGGUAUAAUUGACUGAACAUAAUUCAUAAAUAUGAUAGCUUAUGUGCUCCAAAGCACACUACUUAUACUGACCUCAGUUCAAAGGUUUUAUUUUUAGGCAGUUGCCUUGUUUUUAAUCGCAGAUAAUCUGGUGAAGUGCAUGAAGUACCAUAUGCAUUGUAAUUCUAUCAUAAUUUUUAAUCAGAGGCUGAGAUGUGUCAAUCCUUUAGGUCAUUCUUUGCUCAAAUUGUCAUCUCAUGCAUCAAAAUCAUGUGUUCUUUUUUUUAUUAUUGAAUUUUUAUUUUGGGCAUAAAAGGAUAGAGUUAGUGUUCCCUUUCCCUGGGAUAGGAAUGGGCUAAACAAAAUUCUGAUAAUAUCUCCAAGAAUGGAAACUUUGGAAUGAAAUUGGUUUCAUACAGUAGUGUUUCUGAUGAUCUCUGGAUUUCAGCUUUGAAGAAAAAUUUUCCCCUGCAUAUUGAAAACUCAUUUGGUACCUUAUCUUUUCACUGUUUCAUCUCCAAAUGAUAUUGUAAAGUAAGAAAAUGGGAAAACUUUAUCCAAUAAAGCUUUGUUUCAUGGUGUAUGACAUUUAUACUCUAUUUGCAUUUCCUUAAGUGACUUGUUAAUGAAUAAUGUAGCUUGGGAAAAGAAAAAGCACUAUGCAUUUUUCUUUUGAUGAAGAAAUCAAGAUUUGAAUGUAAGCAGCCAUCAGUCAAUGGACAUCAUGUAGCUUAUUGGAAAUUGGAACAUGGUAGUUGAUAAUUUUGUAUUUCUACUGGGAUAUUAUCAUUUUCUGCCCUAUUACCAAACUGGUAUAGAACCUGAUUAUAAAGUUGUCUCCAUAGGUUUGAUCGAGCCAUCUUUUACCUCUCUUUAAAUCGAUCAUUAUGUCCAUUUGAAGACUUUAUUCUGUUGUAAUUCACAAGGCUCCAAUCCAAAUGAAUCUUUGUGGAUUUCAGGUAUUUGUACCCAAGAAAGCAGGGAAACUUGCUUAUGCGAUUUUCAAAAUGCUGGCCAGUGAUGUUGAAUUUUACAAGACUGAAAAAAGAAAAAAUUCAAAAAUAAAUUAUGACAUGCUUGGGAAGGGACACCUUUCUGCAUUUGUUUUGGGCAAAAUUGUUCUUGAAACUAUGAGUAGUGGAACUGUUGGGGAUGGGGAGGAUUCUGAAGCUGGACAAUGUCACCUUAAGACUGAGGGCACCAAAGAAACUGCUCAAUCGCAACUUCCUGAUGUAGUAAACCAUGAAGUGGCGGCAAUGAAUGGUGAAGGACAACUUUUAUCAAUACCAGCAAGGAAAAAACAAGAAACGGAAAUUGGUUGAGAAUAGAUGAAAGAAGAAAAUGAGCUCAGGGAACCAAGAAUUGUAUGAGAAAUUUGAAUACAAGGAAAAUAAAGAGGAGCACCAGAAGCUAGUUAAGUUAAGCAAGAAGGUUGAUCUGUCUACAGAGGAUUCUUUGCCCAAAAUGAAAAAUGAUUACAGAAAAUGGUUGAUAAGUGAUAGGAAGAAAAUCACCAGUGCCAAUAAAAGUUCUCUACACCAAGCUAGGCAUAUGAAAACGGAUGAACACAGCACCUGCAUGCGAUCACAAUCUACAGUAUCCGAGAGUCAUCAAGUGGUAGCUAACAACAACAUAGACGUGGAUGCAUAAACAACAAAUGAGUCAGUCUUAAUGAAGAAAAAAAAGGGUUUAUCACUAGUUGAAAUGUUUAAAGGGAAAUAAAGACAGCAACCACAAAAAGAAAAAAAAAAACAAGCAAAGUAAGUCUUCACUCCCAGUCUAUUCAAGUGACGGAUAACAAUUUUUUGUAGCAGCAGAUGUUUUAUUUCCUCCAUCAUAGUUCAGAGACAAAACAAGAAGCACUAGAAACAGAGUUUAGCUUCCUACUUCCCUUUUUCCCUUGAAACUUAGCAGUUUAAAAUUGCAUUCAGUUCCUCCAGAUUGAUCUUAUGCUUAUAUUUUUUAAGGCUCUCUUGGGUCUACGUCAUUAUUGUCUCCAUUUGGAGAUUUCCCUUCCCUCCAUCAUUUAUUUUGACAAGAACCGAGGGGAGCUUUUUGUUGGGUAUCUGUAUGAUUGUAUGAAAUACAACUGCUAUAUGGUUGGUCACAUGAUUCAUUACGUAAAUUAAUUCCAAACGAUAUAAACCUAUAGAAA